rnacentral:misc_RNA from 1 species
UUAAGUUCAGCGGGUAUCCCUACCUGAUCCGAGGUCAACCUGAAAAAAAUUGGGGGUUGCUGGCGAGCACACACCCGGACCUCCAGAGCGAGAAGAAUUACUACGCUCGGAGCCGGACGGCACCGCCACUGAUUUUAGGGCCCGCCGGGGCGGCGGGGCCCAACACCAAGCAGGGCUGGAUAGGUUAUAAUGACGCUCGA